UGCCAGCAGCCGCGGUAAUACGUAGGGUGCGAGCGUUGUCCGGAAUUACUGGGCGUAAAGAGCUUGUAGGCGGUUUGUCGCGUCGUCUGUGAAAACUCGCAGCUCAACUGUGAGCCUACAGGCGAUACGGGCAGACUUGAGUACUGCAGGGGAGACUGGAAUUCCUGGUGUAGCGGUGGAAUGCGCAGAUAUCAGGAGGAACACCGGUGGCGAAGGCGGGUCUCUGGGCAGUAACUGACGCUGAGAAGCGAAAGCGUGGGUAGCGAACAGGAUUAGAUA
rnacentral:rRNA from 1 species